AACCCAGAGAACCCUGGGAACUUGGUGGGAUCCUGAGCUGAGUGCUUUGGGGAUUUCAACCUUUGAUGUGCCUUUUCUUUUCAAGUCACAAAUUGAUUUUGAAUGUAUCGCUUUUAUGAUCUUUCUCUUCUAGUCUUAGCUAGGGGCAAAAUAAGCCUAGGACUUUUAAAUACCAGCCUAACCAAGUACAAAAGCCACGGGUUUUUAUUAGAGCUGCCCGGUCCUGAGUUUAAAUAUUUUAUUUAAUUUGAGUCUUGUUUUUCCCCCUGCAUAUAGUGAAAAAAAAAAUCAGUAAAGACAGACAUCCCUCUCGCCUGUAAAACCUAAUGAAAUACCUAAUGAAAAGAGUAGUUGCGGGAGUUGGGGAUUUAGCUCAGUGGUAGAGUGCUUGCCUAGCAAGCGCAAGGCCCUGGGUUCGGUCCUCAGCUCCGGAAAAAAAAAUAAAUAAAAAAAAGAAUUAAAAAAAAAAAAAAAGAGUAGUUGCGAGUAUUACCCACAUUUCUCUUCCUUUUGGAUGAAACCAAUAUAAUGGAGGAUUGCGGCCUCUGGUGGGCGAUGUUGGAGUACUUGGGGAUUCUAGAAAUGGCUGCUGGAGCUAGUCUCAGAAGGUGCAGCCUGGUGGGAGUGUGUGUGUGACUGUCUGAGCCUAAUGCUUGCUGCCUCCCCUCCCCUCCCCCGCCCCGCCCCCUGCAGUCCUGUCCAAGAACAGCAAGCCUAUCCACACCACCAUCCUAAACCCACAUGUCCAUGUCAUCGGCGAGGACGCAGCUUGCAUCGCCUACAUCCGGCUCACCCAGUACAUCGAUGGGCAGGGUCGGCCUCGCACCAGUCAGUCAGAGGAGACCCGGGUGUGGCACCGCCGGGAUGGCAAGUGGCUCAAUGUCCACUAUCACUGCUCAGGAGCCCCUGCUGCACCGCUGCAGUGAGCUCAGGCACAGGGGCAUUAGGAGAUUCCAGCUGGAGGCUGAACCUUCGAAGUCAGUGACUCUGGAGGGCCUGAGUGACAGCCGCGGUCCUGUCCAUUUGAGGUUUAAAACAAUUACAUUACAAAGCGGCAGCAGCCAAUGCACGCCCCUGCAUGCAGCCCUCCCGCCCGCCCUUCGUGUCUGUCUCUGCUGUACUGAGGUGUUUUUUACAUUUAAGAAAAAAAAAA
rnacentral:lncRNA from 1 species